rnacentral:tRNA from 2 species
AGCAGAGUAGAGCAGUGGUAGCUUGUCAGCCUCCUUAGCUGAAGGACGGUGGUUCGAUUCCAUCCUCUGCAA